rnacentral:rRNA from 1 species
AUUGAACGCUGGCGGCAUGCCUUACACAUGCAAGUCGAACGGUAACGGGCCUUCGGGUGCCGACGAGUGGCGAACGGGUGAGUAAUGCAUCGGAACGUACCUUUCAGUGGGGGAUAACGUAGCGAAAGUUACGCUAAUACCGCAUAUUCUGUGAGCAGGAAAGCAGGGGAUCGCAAGACCUUGCGCUGAUUGAGCGGCCGAUGUCAGAUUAGCUAGUUGGUGAGGUAAAGGCUCACCAAGGCGACGAUCUGUAGCGGGUCUGAGAGGAUGAUCCGCCACACUGGAACUGAGACAACGGUCCAGACUCCUACGGGAGGCAGCAGUGGGGAAUUUUGGACAAUGGGGGCAACCCUGAUCCAGCCAUGCCGCGUGAGUGAAGAAGGCCUC